CUUACACACGCACAAAUGCACGCUUCACCAAUUUCAUUUUCUUUUCCAGUAUAUUGAACCUCGAAAUAGGUAUAGUUCUUUCUUUCUAUUGACCUUCUUUUUUGCUUCAUUACUUCUCUUUUGUGUGUAGGGUUUAUCGAUUUUGCAAAUGAGGCAGAUGAGAGGGCCAAGGAAGCGGAUAUUCGGGUCCACGAAUUGGAGGAGCAGAAUAAGUUGCCUGAGGAUUCUCAUCUCUACGAGUACCGAUGCGAGAAACAGAUGGCAAAUUAAUUUCUUCACCAAAUUUUCUUAAUCUUUUUAACACUUAUGUUGUUCACCUCUUAUUGAUUGUAUGAUUAAUUGUGAAAUUACCUCUGUGGGAUUUGGAAAUUUAUUAAAAGCCAUAGGUUUUGUAGGGCUAACUAACCAAAUAAGUGAUUUUGGGUAAAGGGAAAAUAUGAAGAAAGCAAAUUGAUCUUACUGAGCCGUGUAUUAUAUAAUUCCCUUGUUUUUUUUUUCCUUGAGAGACUUGUUAAUUUAGAAAAAUGGAAACUUGGAUGAUGGUAAUACAUCCUGAAAAUCAAAGUUCUUUUCAAUGAUAGAAUAGUGUCACCCACUCAACUUUGGGCUGCAUGAGUUUCUAGGACAUUUUUGGAUAAAGUAUGAACUAAGUGGGCAUGAAAAUGGAAAAUGAAUAUUAGUAAUACUGGAAGGAGAUGAAGAUGAAAAUGGAAAAUGAAUAUUAGUAAUACUGUCUGAACUUUAUGAUCCUCUUCUCUAACAUCAAUCUUUACUGCUGAGGAAUUCUGUUAUUGCUGCCGGCCUAUUCUGAAUAUGUGACUUCUUUCUGUUUUAAAUUUGCUACUUUUAUGUCGUAACUUUGAACUUUGCUUCAGAAUCUUCUCUUCCAGUUAUAUUUUGCGGUUUAUGACUUUCUAGAUUGAUUAACAUAGAAAAUAGAUAAACUAUACAGUUAACAACUGGUUGAGGAUGUAAACGCUUGACAAUGGGAGAAUGUAGUUUCAAAAUCAAAGAAAAUCCUUUGGUAACAAUUUAUAUCUCAUUUGGCCUAAUAGAAGUUUCGUUUGUAGCCAUUUGAAAUCAUAAAUUACUUUGUAUUACAAGUAACGUUUCUUUAAUUUUUCUGUCAUUUUUUAAGUUUCAAGAUUCAUGUAAUGAAUUUUCUGUUUUCAUUGGAACAUGAGGGGAAAUUGUGAUUAAUUCAGAGUUAUGACAUGCGUGUGCAGGCCCAUUCGUUUGUUUACCUCCUGUGGGAAGUCUUGUGGUCUAUUUUCCUCAAGGUCAUAGUGAACAAGUACGUCCUUUCUCUCCUUUCUCUCUAUUUCGAGAAAUAUUGUAAAUUUUCACACGAUAUCUGAUAUGUACUUGUAUAUAUUCUAUUUGUAGGUGGCAGCAUUGAUUCAAAAGGAGGCUGAGAGCAUCCCAAGUUAUCCAAACCUUCCGUCGAAGUUGAUCUCCAUGCUCCAUAAUGUCAAUUUACAUGUAUGAACACUUCCAUAGUGCAACGGAAACUUUUAAACAUUUUUUUCUCCGUGUCGAAAUUUAUUUUCUUCUUGGGUUUUAUACUAGAUAAGUACUUGAUGAUCGUCAAUUUGAUCUACUAUGCAAUAAAUCAAUAUCAAUAAUGAUGUUCAAUUUGAUCUAUCUAUGCAGUAAGUCAACAUCAGCGAUAUUUAUCUUCAAUGGCUUUAGUUGUUAUUUGACUGGAUCAAUCUUAUGUUUCUUUAUCCUCUCCUCAGUAAGUUUUUUCCCCUGCCUUCCUUUUCAUGGUACUUCAAUUUGUGAUUUUUGGCUCUUUAAGAGAGAAUAUGGAUGGGAUCAUUUUACUGUAUUUCAAGAUUUUUAUGGUGAUGAGUUUCUGGUUCAUGCCCCAAUGUUCUCUCUUUUCACAUGUGAAAAAGGAUCUUGUUUUCUUGCUGUCGUUUUUGCUGUCUCACAUCUGCUUGCAGAGUCAACCACUUGAUGGUGGCUGUAUAUGUAGUUGUACAGGCAGCUGUUCCAUCUUUAAUGUUUGUGUUGUUUCCCAUUUCAGCAUCUUGUCAGUUAUUGCUUUGACAUGUAUGAUUCACAAUUUAUGUUUAAUGUGUGUGCACAUUAUAUUGUAUUUUCACAUGCCUAACAAAUGGGGGGGGAAAAAAAAGUGCUAGCAGAUUUUGACAAUACUGUGAGUUAAUUUGUUGUACUUUAUAGUUAGGAGUUGUUUCAAAAAGUUCUCCAUAAAAAGGUUUGUGGAUUUAGAUAAAAGAUGGUGAAAUGUGUCACAUGUGGUUGAAAAGUUGAUAAAAGUUGUGUGUUCCAUGAUAUUAUGGUUAAAAUCAAUUUUUUAGCAACAUUUUUUGCUUUCCUGAACAAGCACUUUGUAGAUAAGCAUUUACUAUCCCCUUACGUAUUAGACUGCAAAUAAUUCUCUUUCUUUCCUUUUCUUUUGUCCCGUCUGUAUUUGUUCCUUUUGGCAUAAUUAUUUUCGUUCAAUCAGUGCAAGCAAUAUGAGAAGGACCUAAUGGACAUGAUCGAUAGAGAAGUGGAUGGAAGUGAUAGUCUUGAGGGGAUUUGUUCUGUGCCAUUCAAUUGCUAGUGGUACAAGCUAAGGUUUCCAAAUCCUAUCACAUUGUGCAAAUUUUCUAUGUAAAUUCCAAAAUAUGAAUGUCUUGAUUCAUAUUUGAUUUUCAUAAGAAUAUGAAACUGGUUUUGUACUGUUCACGGAAGGACAGGUCAACUGCACUGUAGAGGCCCAAUUUAUUCUCUCUGCUUUCACUGUAUAUACUCAAUGUAUCUAUCUCUUCCUUUUCAUUUCUUCCCCCAUUUAGCCAUCCUUGUUGACUAUAUAAUAGUUAUUUGCUUUCCAUGUAGCCACCAUUCUUUCUAGCUACAGUGGUUCUGCAUUGUUCAUUAAAUGAUCGCCCUAACAAAGCGUCAUUUCUUCCAUCUCUAAACCCUCUUUUUUCUUUCCCGAAUUUCAAUCCCCAUUCCCAACACACUUUAAUUCCUCCUACAACGCUAAAAACCCUUCAAUUAAUUUCAUCUCUCCAGGAAUGAGCUGGCUGUACAAGCUUAGAUUUGGUGUUCUUAACUCCACCGACUCCAUGUGGAUUCCUCUUUCGAUUCUUCCAUAGCGCAUGGGACUAGACGAUCAUGUACUCGCUCUGAGCCAUCAGUUCGUGCAAUUCGAAGGAGGUAGAGAAUAUAGUAUUGGCUUCCUCCAUUGCAAUUUAUUGUUGAGUUUUUUUAAAACAGUAUUUAAUCGUAUCCCCAAGAAAAAUUUAUGAAUUUCAGUUCAGAAAUUUGAGAAAAAAUGUGAAGUUUAGGUUUGCUUUCAUCUUAAAUGUCUUAAAAGUUUGUUCUUAUUGGCAAAAAGUUUUAAAUUUCUGCAUUUAUUUAAUUAAGCUUGCUCAUUUUUAUCACCGGCAAAACUAAGAUUUCAGAUUUUGGGUGUGGUGUGGGGCUGAGCAACAUAGGGAAGCAGCAAUGCACAAAGGUCACUCAGAUUAAAAGGCUAAUUGCUAGAAACUGGUGAAUAUAAGCACAAGGAAGAUUUGGAAAUGCUUAUAAAUUUAGAGCUGGGGAAGUUAAAUUAUGUUGAGAACGAGUUCCGGAAUUAUGAAUAUAUUGUAAGAAAAAAUAAUAAAUGAGAUUGUAUAUAAAAUAAAAAGUGGAGCAAUUUGAUUGAAUUAUGCCACUAUGAGUUUUAAUUUUUGAUUUCUUUUAUUUUUUGAUUGUCAAAUUUGUCGACGAAUAAAUGAAACAUAGGAUUGAGUUGAGUAUGACGUGGAGAAAUGUGACUAGAGAGCUUGAAACAUUGACCUCUUGAAAAUUAACUUUUGAGAACGUGAAAACUUCCAACUAGAAAGUAGAAACUGCAUGAUCGGCUGAAUAAUUUGUAAAAAGAAGUGACAAACUGUAAUUUCUCUAUUUUGUGAUUUAUGUUUUCGUGAACAUUAUUGUAGCUAGAUGUUCCUUUAGUUUAUCAUUCACAUAUUGAAAUGAGAUAUUGCACAUGCUAGAAGAAAUAUGUAAUCCUCCUUCUGGUUCUUGGCAAAAUUUGAAGGUGAGUAGAAUUUUCUGAGUACGAACUUUGUUGUUGUUGUUUUUUUUUCUGGCAAUUAUAUUUAUCUUGUGAAAAACUGUUUCAGGAUUACAUGUGAAAAUCUAGGGAUGUUUUUUUUCUCAAGUUUCUUGUGAUGAUGAUGGUAAGUUAUUUUACUCAAUACAAUUUUUUUUACUAUAGAGAUGCUAAUGGCUCCGUGCAACCUUGUUAAUGGGGUUUAUAAACAUUUGUUACUAUAUUCAGGAACCUUUGGCAUAGUUAACUAUAGUAAUUGCUAAAACAUUAAUUAUGUUGUAAGUCACAGUUGUAUUCAUCUUCAAAAUGUUUGAGCUUCUGUGCAUCCAUGAAUUUUUCUAGUCAAUUUGGUAAUUUGUUGUCCUCUUGCUCAGAUCCGGAAAUUUGAUGAUCACGAUUUGAAGAAUCUUUCGACCAGAAUAAUAUCCGGGUAUUCUUUUAUAUUUUUUCUCUUCUUUGUCUGUUUUUCUUCUCUUUUAAGGGAUUAAAUUUUCAAAGAAUGUCGUUUCUUCUUUAUCAAAAAAAAAAAAAAAACCCAAAGCAAGCACUUGGAAUUCAGUUUCUAUUUCUAAUAUAGUGUUAGAAAUUACAUUUGUGCCUUUGUAACCUAUACAAUGCUCAAAUCUUGAACUUCUUACUUCUUAGAGGGAUUUAACUCUUACAGUAUCGUAAUUUUUACUACUAAAAUCUAAGAAUUCGUACAAUAAUAUCUUUACGAAAGUAACUAUCUUAUGAAAUAAUAAACUUUUUUCUUUGUAAAUCAAUAAAUUCAGGUAAAGGAAUACAAGCACAGCCCAUCAAGAAGGCCACGUAGGAGCCGCCGUAGAAUAUCGUAAUUCUUACUACUGAAAUCUAAGAAUUCGU
rnacentral:lncRNA from 1 species